CUAAGCACACUGUUGGUUAUGUGUGCCCAAGCAUUGAGGCAGUCAAAGUAGGCAAAUCCGCUUUGAUAAUGCUGGGAUGUGAUGGGGAGCGAAAUUUAGUAGCGAAGUAGCUGAUUUCACACUGUCAAGAAAAGUCUCUAUCGAGGUUAAAGGUACCCGUACCGCAAACCGACACAGGUGGGUGAGGAGAGUAUCCUAAGGCCAGCGAGAGAACUGUUGUUAAGGAACUCGGCAAAAUGACCCCGUAACUUAGGGAUAAGGGGUGCCACCAUCAGGUGGCCGCAGAGAAUAGGCCCAAGCGACUGUUUACCAAAAACAUAGGUUUCUGCUAAGUCGCAAGACGAUGUAUAGGAGCUGACGCCUGCCCGGUGCUGGAA
rnacentral:rRNA from 1 species